UGGCGGCUGGGAGGGGGAUGGCAUUCGAUCAUUCAUGGUGGCUCCUGUCAGAGAAACAGCCGCUCAGGAUCGUGUCCCGAGCCGCCUUCC
rnacentral:tRNA from 1 species